ACUCUUGUAGGAAAGUAAGAAAUGGUUUGGAAAUACUAUAUUGGGCAUCAAUCACGGCUCGGGAAAAGGCAAGGUAAUUGUCAUAUGGGUGGGCCAGGCCAGGCUUGUUUUAAUUGUUGAAGGUGUGCAAUGGGCAUGGAAAGAAGUGGAGCAAAGCGAUGGACUCAAAUUUCCAAGAUGAGUAGCAUUAGUAUGACUAUUCUUUAAUUACUCCAGAAGCAACCCAACCAACCCCUCGUGUGAUUUUUUAGCUAGAGGUCGUGUGAAUGGCAUAUAUUUUUAUUGGGAAAUUAGAAAUAUUAUGUCAUUUAAACAUAUUUUAUAUGUAUAAUAUUAGAAGAGAGAGAGAGAGGGUAAAUAUUUUUGGGAAGGGGGUAGGGUAGCUAGAGUCUCAGGAUGAUUAUAAAAGUAUGGGAAAAGAAUGUAUAGAGAAAAUGGGGUUUGACUUUGGUAGUAUUUCUUGGAGUCCUUAGGUUGUGG
rnacentral:lncRNA from 1 species